AGAGUUUGAUCCUGGCUCAGAACGAACGCUGGCGGCGUGGAUAAGACAUGCAAGUCGAGCGCUGAUUCCGAGGUAGCAAUAUUUCGGAGUCGGAGCGGCGCAAGGGUGCGUAACACGUGGGUAAUCUGCCGUGAAGUCUGGGAUAACUUGCUGAAAGGCGAGCUAAUACCGGAUGUGGCCAUGAGGAGGCAUCUUCUGGUGGCUGAAGUUGGGGACCGCAAGGCCUGACGCUUCACGAUGAACCCGCGGCCUAUCAGCUAGUUGGUGAGGUAACGGCCCACCAAGGCUAAGACGGGUAGCUGGUCUGAGAGGACGACCAGCCACACUGGAACUGAGACACGGUCCAGACACCUACGGGUGGCAGCAGUCGAGAAUUUUUCACAAUGGGCGCAAGCCUGAUGGAGCGACGCCGCGUGGGGGAUGAAUGGCUUCGGCCCGUAAACCCCUGUCAUUCGCGAUCAAACCUCGUUAUUUAAAAGAUGACGAGCUGAUAGUAGCGGAAGAGGAAGGGACGGCUAACUCUGUGCCAGCAGCCGCGGUAAUACAGAGGUCCCAAGCGUUGUUCGGAUUCACUGGGCGUAAAGGGUGCGUAGGUGGUGAGGUAAGUCGGAUGUGAAAUCUCGGAGCUCAACUCCGAAAUGGCAUUGGAAACUACCUUGCUCGAGGAUUGGAGGGGGGACUGGAAUUCUCGGUGUAGCAGUGAAAUGCGUAGAUAUCGAGAGGAACACCAGUGGCGAAGGCGAGUCCCUGGACAACUCCUGACACUGAGGCACGAAAGCUAGGGGAGCAAACAGGAUUAGAUACCCUGGUAGUCCUAGCCGUAAACGGUGCACGUUUGCUGUAAAAGGAAUCGACCCCUUUUGUGGCGGAGCCAACGCGUUAAACGUGCCGCCUGGGAAGUACGGUCGCAAGAUUAAAACUCAAAGGAAUUGACGG
rnacentral:rRNA from 1 species